rnacentral:rRNA from 1 species
UUGGAGAGUUUGAUCCUGGCUCAGAGUGAACGCUGGCGGCAUGGUUAAGACAUGCAAGUCGAACGAGAAGCUUAUCUUCGGAUUUGUGGAAAGUGGCGAACGGGUGCGUAACACGUGAGCAACCUGCCCUAAAGUACAGAACAGCCCGUCGAAAGAUGGAUUAAUGCUGUAUGUGGCCUUUUAUCGCAUGGUAAAAUGGUUAAAGCUUGUAAUGGCGCUUUAGGAUGGGCUCGCGGCCUAUCAGCUUGUUGGUGAGGUAAAAGCUCACCAAGGCUAAGACGGGUA